UGCCAGCCGCCGCGGUAAUACGAAGGGGGCUAGCGUUGUUCGGAAUCACUGGGCGUAAAGCGUAUGUAGGCGGAUCAAAAAGUUAGAUGUGAAAUCCCUGGGCUCAACCCAGGAACUGCAUUUAAAGCUAGUGAUCUAGAAUUUGGUAGGGGUUAGUAGAAUUUCCAGUGUAGAGGUGAAAUUCGUAGAUAUUGGAAAGAAUACCAGUGGCGAAGGCGACUAACUGGGCAUUACUGACACUGAGGUACUGAAGCAUGGGGAGCGAAUCGGAUUAGAUA
rnacentral:rRNA from 1 species